rnacentral:rRNA from 1 species
AUUGAACGCUGGCGGCAGGCCUAACACAUGCAAGUCGAACGGUAACAGGAAGCAGCUUGCUGCUUCGCUGACGAGUGGCGGACGGGUGAGUAAUGUCUGGGAAACUGCCUGAUGGAGGGGGAUAACUACUGGAAACGGUAGCUAAUACCGCAUAACGUCGCAAGACCAAAGAGGGGGACCUUAGGGCCUCUUGCCAUCGGAUGUGCCCAGAUGGGAUUAGCUAGUAGGUGGGGUAACGGCUCACCUAGGCGACGAUCCCUAGCUGGUCUGAGAGGAUGACCGGCCACACUGGAACUGAGACACGGUCCAGACUCCUACGGGAGGCAGCAGUGGGGAAUAUUGCACAAUGGGCGCAAGCCUGAUGCAGCCAUGCCGCGUGUAUGAAGAAGGCCUUCGGGUUGUAAAGUACUUUCAGCGGGGAGGAAGGGAGUAAAGUUAAUACCUUUGCUCAUUGACGUUACCCGCAGAAGAAGCACCGGCCAACUCCGUG